AGGACCAUAGCUCAAUGGUAGAGCAUCUGCUUUGCAUGCAGAAGGCCGCUGAUUCAACUCCCAAGAUCUCCAGGUAGUGUUG